UACGUAGGGGGCUAGCGUUGUCCGGAUUUAUUGGGCGUAAAGAGCGUGUAGGCGGCCUGGAAGGUCAGCUGUGAAAACUCGAGGCUCAACCUCGAGACGUCGGUUGAAACCACCUGGCUAGAGUCCGGAAGAGGAGUGUGGAAUUCCCGGUGUAGCGGUGAAAUGCGCAGAUAUCAGGAGGAACACCGAUGGCGAAGGCAGGUCUCUGGGCAUUAACUGACGCUGAGGAGCGAAAGCAUGGGGAGCGAACAGG
rnacentral:rRNA from 1 species